AAAUUGAAGAGUUUGAUCAUGGCUCAGAUUGAACGCUGGCGGCAGGCCUAACACAUGCAAGUCGAACGGUAACAGGAAGCAGCUUGCUGCUUCGCUGACGAGUGGCGGACGGGUGAGUAAUGUCUGGGAAACUGCCUGAUGGAGGGGGAUAACUACUGGAAACGGUAGCUAAUACCGCAUAAUGUCGCAAGACCAAAGAGGGGGACCUUCGGGCCUCUUGCCAUCGGAUGUGCCCAGAUGGGAUUAGCUAGUAGGUGGG
rnacentral:rRNA from 1 species